AUUCGAUCAAAAAUAAAUAAAUAACCUGUACAAGAAUUUUCUUUUUGACCUACCAAAGAUAAUGGCAGUUCGCAGCAAUUCUCUUCUAUUCAUCUUUGCAAUUAUGUGCAUUGUUUCAUCGAUUGUUGCGGUUGAAGGGGAUGUGUUAGAUGCUGGAUCUUGCUUUUUAUUGGGAGCAUGUCCAGAUCGGAGCGGUGAUUGUUUCAAUUUUUGUGUGAAGGAAAAGAAAAACACUGCAGGUGGAGAGUGUGCCAAAGACACAGGAAUUUGUUGUUGUUAUGUUUGAAGAUUUUUACAUUUAAUUAAUUGUGUUAGUUUUUCUUUAUGUUGCGAUAAUUAUAUUCAUAAAAAUAUAAUUACUAUGAUUUACUUUAAUUGAUUAGUUGCAUUUUACUAUUCUUGUGAUAGCGAUGAAAUUUAAAGUAAAAAUUUGAAAUUGUUA